rnacentral:rRNA from 1 species
GAAAACGCGGUGCCGGCGUCCUUUACACAUUCAAGUCCGAACGAACCUUCGGGUUAGUGGCGGACGGGUGAGUACGCGUAUCUGCCUCAGGAUGGGGACAACAGUUGGAAAACGACUGCUAAUACCCCAUAUGCCCGCGAGGUGAAAUGAAUUUCGCCUGAGAUGAGCUCGCGUCUGAUUAGCUAGUUUGUGUAGGUAUUGGCUCACCAAGGCAUCGAUCAGUACUGGUCUGAGAGGAUGAUCAGCACACUGGGGCUGAACACGGGCCCAAACUCCCUACGGAGGCACAGUGGGGAAUUUUCCGCAUGGGCGAAAGCCUGACGGAGCAACGCCGCAUGAUGGAUGAAGGCCUCUGGGCUGUAAACCUCUUUAUCAAGGAAGAAGAUCUGACGGUACUUGAUGAAUAAGCCACGGCUAAUUCCGUGCCAGCAGCCGCGGUAAUACGGGAGGUGGCAAGCGUUAUCCGGAAUUAUUGGGCGUAAAGCGUCCGCAAGGCGGCCUUCAAGUCUGCUGUUAAAAAAGUGGAGCUUAACUCCAUCAUUGGGCAGUGGAAACUGUUGGGCUUGAGUGUGGUAGGGCAGAGGGAAUUCCCGGUGUACGGUGAAAUGCGUAGAUAUCGGGAAGGAACACCAGUUGGCGAAGCGCUCUGCUGGGCCAUCACUGACGCUCAUGGACA